GGAAAUGAUGUCAUGGAGAAAACAGAAGCUGCAGCACAAACCACAUGCAAAUGUUAAAAUGCAGACAGGACAGUUAAUAAAACUCUCUGUCCUGUUUUAUUUCUUCAUCACUUCUGUGGAAUGUAUCAGGACAAGGGACAGUGUUGUUUAUGAUGAUAUUAAUGCUUAAUAAUUAAUCCAGUCUGCAGCGGCCAUAACGCCAUGACGCAGGAGCACUUCAUCUCAUUUACCUGAGGAAGGUUAAACCUUUCUUCCUUUUUUCUGUAAAUGAUGCACAUAUCAGCUCAUCAGCUCCUGUUGACCUUGAACACGUGAUCAUGUGGAUGUUAAAGGGGUUCAAGUUGAACAUUAAGCCUCCAUUCAGCAGCGAGCAGCUCAUCAGGGCAUCACCUCAGCACUGCUGUCACCAUGGUAACCGUGUCAGCCCUGCUUCUCCUGCUCUCUGCUUUUACUCCUCCAGUCCAGAGUCAACUCACUUCACUCCAUAUCAUUCCGGAUGACAUGAAUCAGACUGAGGCUCGGAAAGCUUGCAGAGAAAAUUACACCGACCUCGUCACUGUGUACUCUGAUGAAGACAAC